rnacentral:tRNA from 1 species
GGGGGUUGCCAAGCUUGGUCAAAGGCGUGAGAUCAAUUCCGACAUGACGCUCAGAUGAACUGAUCCAGCUGGGAAACCUCAUCCCGUAGGGGUUCGUGGGUUCAAAUCCCACCCCCCGCA